UCCGAAUUAGUGUAGGGGUUAACAUAACUCGCUUUCAGUAACCACGUGAUCAAAAGUCACGUGGCCUUCGUCCGAGUAGCCCCGGGUUCGAUUCCCGGAUUCGGAA